AAUGGAGGAAAAAAAUGGUCGCGAGUUGAGCGCUGAAGCCAUACCCGAACGGAGGGACAAUGACUUGAGCAUGAAAAUCCGAUAUGCCGUGGCAGAAUUAAAUAUCCUCUGGCGUAAAAUCAAUGCAGGCGGUCGGUACUGAUUAAUUCGCGGGUCCACGGUUCCGCAGAUGGCGCGUUGAUCGUGGUACACCGGUGUGGCCCGGCGACGAUCGUUAAAAAACGUCUGCGCGCAUUCAAAAGCGCAUAAUAACCGGGAAAAAGAGAGCGAACCGACGCCGUGGAAUAUCGCGGAGAAGCGUGUAUCAAUUUCGAGAGAUGAAAAGUCGAGCAGAGGCGGAAGGUCGGUGGAGUACAAAUUACCGUGGGGCAGCUGCCCUCCGUUUGCGAUUCCCGUCGACUCGCGUGUAUAUAACACGAGACGAUGCGCGCAUGCGCGUUCUCUGUGUACGUUCACUUGCACAUCGAGGGGAACUAGGGUUGAAGAGGGAAAACAAACCAACGCGAAAGGGAAAAAUAAAUGCGCGGAGGUAAGACGAGUACAAGAGGGAAAAAGAAGGGAGGCGAGAAUCCUAAGCGAAAGAGAGAUAACCUAGCAAAGUAAUUUUCUUCAGAUGAGAAGAGCCCCCGAGAGAAAUAGACUCUUCGAUAAAGCUGCAGAAAACAGUCUAGGAAAAAUCGGACUAGGGAAAACAUUGACCGAACAUUGUGGGACGAUGUGGAAAAUACGAAACCUGAAGAAAAAGGGCCAGAGCACUCUACAUAGGAGGAGGAAGAAACAGAUUGAAAGAGAAAAAGAUGAGAUGAGAAGAAACGAGAAUGUAAAAGAGAAGCCAGAGAGGGAAUCAGGGAGUGGUACAACAGCGAACCGUCAAGGAGGGGGGCAUGCGUGGGGUUAGAGAGGGAGAGGGAGAUAGAGGGAGCAUGAAAAACGAGAAAGAGCGAGAACAAGACAAAGUCGAGCGAAGCGGGGAGAGAAGGGGAGGAGAAGGAUAAACGGAGGGUGAAUGGGUGGGUGGAAGGGAGAAGAAACAUGCCAGAGGACGAUGAACUCUGGCGGUAGGCAGCUUCCGUCGCCUGGCAACGUUCUCCUCCCUUUUCCUCCUCCUCUCCCUGAGGCUCCAAGCCGUUAUGUCGUGGUAUCGUACGUAGGCAGUCCUCGUCAUGGACGUAGUAGUCGUGUCAUCGUCUUCGUCAGUGACGAUCAUGGUAGUCGUUGUUGUAUUUUCACGUAGUCGUGGCUCGCAGCUUGCGCUGCGUAUUGAUCGUACGGAAUGCUGCUGCUAGCUGCUGCUGGUUGCUGGCUGCUCCAGCGCUGGCUAACAGUGAGCUUUAGCCACAGCCCUACACCAAGGACCAAUAGGACCACCACUUUCUCUCUCUCUCUCUCUCUUGACUUUCUACUCGGCUUAUACCCACCCAUUAUGGUUGCCCAAAAAUGAAAGUAAAUGCAGUAAACUAUCGUUACUGUAUCGUUUUAGACGAUAGAAAAAACUUCUGGUUGGUUAAUUUGAUAGGUGCGGUAGUUGGAUGAUUAUAGAAAAACAUAGGGAUGUGAUAAUGAAUGUUCUUUCAUACUGUUUCAUUUCUUGAAACCGUAGAAGAAUAAAAUAACGAUUUGUAUUUAGAAGAGAAAAUGUGCCCAAGUUGAAAUUGGAAAAUGUUACAGACGUUAAAAUAAUACAAAAUACUAUAAUACUUAAAUGCAGAAGAUUCACAUAGAGAUGAUAAUGAUACAAAGAUCUAAAUAUAUAGGUAAAAUGCAUGAGAAAAUUCUGGCCAUAAUUUUAUACGAUAUCGUUCACAUACUCAAAAUCCAUUAGCCAUGCAUCACAUGUGCUACAUGUGUGCAAAAUGUGAACAUCAAAUCAAUGACCCUACCGUGCCUUCUCCCCAUCAAACGUCGAACCUUCGUCUAAUUAUAUCGCAAUAUAUCUCAAAAUAACCCAACUUCAUCAUCAGCUAACUACACCUAUCACUUGUACCAAUACUAUGCUCUUACUUUACCAUAUAUAAAAUAGGAAAGCGACAUGUUUCACAACAUAACCAUAUUUCUUCCACUAGACACGAGGCAUACAAAUGAGGCACAGAUACAUCUAACUCAUGACACGACAAUAAUACAUUGGCUUCGAAAAGGAUUAAGAGUAAUGUAUGGAGCAUACAAAGGGGACAUAAAUACGUCCACAACAUUUCUAUUGUUCGCCAAUUGCAAGAGGAAAGCGCGCGUUCACCGACACCUACACGUCGUGCAGAAAUGUCGGACGGCUAUCAAUGGUUAGAACACGUCGUCUCGAUGAAAAUACCAGCGAGAGGUGAAUGGUUCGCGGCACGUGAAAAUAGUUUCACUACACAAGGCUAUGUCGUAAAGUCGGCCGCUACCGCGAAGAACCGAUCGAGCCGAAAAUGAAAGCAAACGCGAGCCGUGACUGCCAAGUCCAACGAACCUGCCACUUGGCAGCCGACGUCCGUGCUCAAGAGUGUCUUUAAUACACUGAACCCGCUAAACCUAAAUCCAUUUUAACCGCGGAGUGUCGGUGCCCGAUGUUGGCACAGAAAACUGUCACUGGCAUCCAUGAAAUUGCCAGUGAUCCGUUCGACACGGUUACCGAUGAGUCAGCCGAUUUUCUUGAAUGAAGUUUCUUUCUUACCCCGUGUUAACGAGACUCGUUGAAUUAGGGGAUGGAUAGGACGAUUCCAAUCGGUCGUCAAACACAUACACGAAAUUAUUAUUUGAUGUACAGGGAUGAGUCACGUAUAUGACUCACGAGGGAAUAGGUGCACAGGGUGUAAUUCAUGCAUGAGCACCGUUGCAACUAAGUUUACAAAGAGUCUCGCAGUAAUUUAUAGCCACGUAAUACGUGAAGAACUACUUUGAGAGAAUGACAGCGAAGGAAGUUGUAAAGCAGGAUAUGUUAUUGAUAGUUUAUAGUUGCAGGUCGUUAAAUGUGGCACGAGGUUUGUAGAAGGAAAGUGUCAAAACAUGAGGAGCGAAGAAGACAUUUUGUAUAGCUGAACGUGUCCUACUUUUCUGUAACACGUUUUUUUGCACGCUCUUUUAAAAUUAAAUUAAUGGCUACAAUCUUAUUGUAAUUUUAUAUAAUGCACUUGUAAUCUUAUCCACCAGAAUCUCUUUUUUGCUAAUGAAACUGGCGACUAAUGAAACGUAAUAUAAUAUACAGCGUUAUAAGGA